AUUUUGCUUUAUGCACUCGCGUGUGCCGUAAUUUUGACAGUUAUGCUAUUUUAAAUUCCCAGUCAUCUAAAAUCUUUUGUCCUUAAAACAAUAUCGAUUUCUUGGGAAAUUCCGAGGUUGCGUUUUUUUUUAUACACCCUGUAUACCUAUACUGAAACCUUAUGCUGUACACCUCUACCAUGCAGUUCUAAACUGUUAUCUCUAGAAAUCCAGCAAAGAGAAUUCUAUAUUGAUACUACAGGAACAAACUAAACUAACUGUAUUUAUAUCGCGGUUAGCUCAUUCUGUUGUAAACUGUUCUCCCUAGCUAUAGAGGUCCAGUGAGGAUCAUCUCUUAUUGAUCCAGUAUUACAGGAGGAAACACAAACUAAAUUAACUUUAAUUACACUGGAUAGGUCUAUCAGUUCUAAACUGUUUUCUCUAGAGGUCAAGUAAGAAUCAUCUCUUAUUGAUCCAGUGUUACUACAGGAGGAAACCUAAACUAAACUAACUUUAUUUAUACCGGAUAGCUCUAUCAGUUCCAAACUGUUCUCCCUAGAGGUUCAGUAAGGAUCAUCUCUUAUUGAUCCAGUGUUACUACAGGAGG